rnacentral:tRNA from 1 species
CUAUAGCUCAGUUGGUUAGAGCUGCGGACUUUUAAUCCGAGGGUCGCAGGUUCGAGUCCUGCUGGGG